rnacentral:lncRNA from 12 species
UUAUUUGGUUUAAGUUUAAUUAAAUUAAUUAAGUUUAAUUAAUCCCUUCCCCAUUUUUUUCAAUUUUUCCCAAUUUCUCCCCAAAAUUUUCCCGUUUUUUCCCAUUUUCCCCAUUUUUUUCCAUUUCCCCCCAUUUUUUCCUUUUUUCAAUUUUUUCCAUUUUCCCAUCUCCCCCCAUUUUUUGCCAUUUCCCCUUUUUUACUUUUUAUCUUUUCCCCCAAUUUUCCCCCAUUUUUCCUUUUUCUCCGAAUUUUUCUCCAAAUUUUCUCAAUUUUUUCCCAUUUCUCCCAUUUUUCCCCCAUUUUUCCCUUUUAUUCCCAUUUUCCCCAUUUUUUUAAUUUUUCCUAUUUUUCCCUUUUACCUUUUCUCCCAAUUUUCCCUCAUUUCCCUCCUUUUUUCCUUUUUACCUUCCCCCACAUUUUUUCCACAUUUCCCCCAUUUUUUCAUUUCCCCAUUUUCUUCCACUUUCCCCCAUUUUAUUCCCAUUUCUCCCAUUUCCCCCAUUCCCCAUUUCCCCCCUUUUUUCCUUUUUACCUUUUCCCCCCAUCAGCCCCAUUUGGGGUUCGGGGGUUUGGCCCCAGUCUCAUUUU